ACGGAAGGCAGCAGUGGGGAAUCUUGCGCAAUGGGCGAAAGCCUGACGCAGCAACGCCGCGUGCGGGAAGAAGGCCUUCGGGUUGUAAACCGCUUUCAGCAGGGAAGACACUGACGGUACCUGCAGAAGAAGCUCCGGCUAACUACGUGCCAGCAGCCGCGGUAAUACGUAGGGAGCGAGCGUUAUCCGGAUUCAUUGGGCGUAAAGCGCGCGUAGGCGGCUUGCCAAGCGGGAUGUCAAAGCCCGGGGCUCAACCCCGGCCCGCAUCCCGAACUGGCAGGCUUGAGUCUGGUAGGGGAAGGCGGAAUUCCCAGUGUAGCGGUGAAAUGCGCAGAUAUUGGGAAGAACACCGGUGGCGAAGGCGGCCUUCUGGGCCACGACUGACGCUGAGACGCGAAAGCUAGGGGAGCGAACAGGAUUAGAUACCCUGGUA
rnacentral:rRNA from 1 species